rnacentral:rRNA from 1 species
UACGGAGGGAGCUAGCGUUGUUCGGAAUUACUGGGCGUAAAGAGUACGUAGGCGGCUAUUCAAGUCAGAGGUGAAAGCCCGGGGCUCAACCCCGGAACUGCCUUUGAAACUAAGUAGCUAGAAUCUUGGAGAGGUCAGUGGAAUUCCGAGUGUAGAGGUGAAAUUCGUAGAUAUUCGGAAGAACACCAGUGGCGAAGGCGACUGACUGGACAAGUAUUGACGCUGAGGUACGAAAGCGUGGGGAGCAAACAGG